AGAGUUUGAUCCUGGCUCAGAGCGAACGCUGGCGGCGUGCUUAACACAUGCAAGUCGAACGCGCAGCAUUCUGUAGCAAUACAGGGUGUGGGCGCGUGGCGAACGGGUGCGUAACACGUGGAUAACCUUCCUUCAGGUGGGGAAUAACCCCGCGAAAGCGGGGCUAAUACCGCAUAACAUCGCGAUGGCACAUGCUGUUGCGUUCAAAAGGCGCAAGUCGCCAGAAGAGGGAUCCGCGGCCGAUUAGCUUGUUGGCGGGGUAACGGCCCACCAAGGCUUUGAUCGGUAGCCGGACUGAGAGGUUGGCCGGCCACACUGGAACUGAGACACGGUCCAGACUCCUACGGGAGGCAGCAGUGGGGAAUCUUGCACAAUGGACGAAAGUCUGAUGCAGCAACGCCGCGUGGGGGAUGAAGCUUCUCGGAGUGUAAACCCCU
rnacentral:rRNA from 1 species